rnacentral:rRNA from 1 species
UACGUAGGGUGCGAGCGUUGUCCGGAAUUAUUGGGCGUAAAGGGCUCGUAGGCGGUCUGUUGCGUCGGGAGUGAAAACUCAGGGCUUAACCCUGAGCCUGCUUCCGAUACGGGCAUCACUGGAGUUCGGCAGGGGAGACUGGAAUUCCUGGUGUAGCGGUGAAAUGCGCAGAUAUCAGGAGGAACACCGGUGGCGAAGGCGGGUCUCUGGGCAGUAACUGACGCUGAGGAGCGAAAGCGUGGGGGAGCGAACAGG